UUGGAGGGCAAGUCUGGUGCCAGCAGCCGCGGUAAUUCCAGCUCCAAUAGCGUAUAUUAAAGUUGCUGCAGUUAAAAAGCUCGUAGUUGAAUUUCGGGACCAAUGCGUCGGUCGUGCCUUCGGUACGUACUAGCGUCAUUGAUUCCUCCCUUCUGAAGAACCGUGAUGUCAUUAAUUUGGUGUUACGGGGAAUCAGGACUGUUACCUUGAAAAAAUUAGAGUGUUUAAAGCAGGCUAACGCUYGAAUACAUUAGCAUGGAAUAAUGAAAUAGGACGUUCGAACCUAUUUUGUUGGUUUCUAGGAUCGACGUAAUGAUUAAUAGGGAUGGUUGGGGGCAUUAGUAUUCAAUUGUCAGAGGUGAAAUUCUUGGAUUUAUUGAAGACUAACUACUGCGAAAGCAUUUGCCAAGGAUGUUUUCAUUAAUCAAGAACGAAAGYUAGGGGAUCGAAGACGAUCAGAUACCGUCGUAGUCUUAACCAUAAACUAUGCCGACUAGGGAUCGGAUGAUGUUAAUUUUUUAAUGACUCAUUCGGCGCCUUACGGGAAAC
rnacentral:rRNA from 1 species